rnacentral:rRNA from 1 species
AAAUCCGGUUGAUCCUGCCGGAGGCGACCGCUAUUGGAGUUCGAUUAAGACAUGCGAGUCUGAGCAUUAGCUCGGCGUACCGCUCAGUAACACGUGGGUAACCUGCCCUAUCGUUUUGAAUAACCUCGGGAAACUGAGAACAAUACAUCAUAGUCCACUACGCCUGGAACGGUGAGUGGAUGAAGGUAGGAUGGGCCUGCGGCGUAUCAGGUUGUAGGGGGUGUAAUGGACCUCCUAGCCAUCGACGCGUACGGGUGUUGGGAGACAUAGCCCGGAGAUGGAUUCUGAGACACGAAUCCAGACCCUACGGGGU